rnacentral:lncRNA from 1 species
GAUGAGGCGGAAAAAGAGUAACUCAAGAUCUAAACCUCUACCACCUUCAAAGAGGUUGAGAUUGGAGGCACAAAGAGUUCUCAAAGAGAGAGUUCAAGAUAUAGCUGAUAAAAAGGGCAUCAAGCUGAGGUUCUGCACCUUAAAGGACUGUGAAAGUCACAUCCAGUCCCUUGAUAGCCCUUGUACAAACAUAAGGAUGGAGAUUGGAUGGCCAGCGGGAGUUCCAUUUGUUCACCCACAUGAUCUCCCAAAUAAGGCUAAGAUUGUACCUUAAAGGACUGUGAAAGUCACAUACAGUCCCUUGAUAGCCCUUGUACAAACAUAAGGAUGGAGAUUGGAUGGCCUGCGGGAGUUCCAUUUGUUUACCCACAUGAUCUCCCAAAUAAGGCUAAGAUUGGAUUUCUUGAA